rnacentral:rRNA from 1 species
UACGGAGGGUGCAAGCGUUAUCCGGAUUUACUGGGUUUAAAGGGUGCGUAGGCGGGCAGGUAAGUCAGUGGUGAAAUCCCCCGAGCUCAACUUGGGAACUGCCGUUGAUACUAUCUGUCUUGAAUACCGUGGAGGUGAGCGGAAUAUGUCAUGUAGCGGUGAAAUGCUUAGAUAUGACAUAGAACACCGAUUGCGAAGGCAGCUCACUACGCGGUCAUUGACGCUGAGGCACGAAAGCGUGGGGGAGCAAACAGG